UACCUGCUUCAAAAUAGUCAUCAUUUGCUCAAACGUCAGAGUAGCACCCUUCAAUACCCUCUUCAAGUGAGUUUUACAAGAGCGCACCGCAGCUUCACACAAGCCAUUAUGGUGCGGACCACGAGGAGGUUGGAAACACCAUUCUAUUCCUUUGGUAGCGAGGUGGUGCCAUUAUCCGAGUACAUCCGCUUUGGUGAACCUCGAGUGCUGACAAAGCGUUUGAAACAAGCCAAAAAGGCAUCAGUUGAAAGGGAGCUUACAAUGUCAAGCAACACGGGACCUGCGUAAUCUACUCCAGUUGAAUGGAAGGCAGCGACAUAUUCCACUCGAGGCUGGGGCAAGUCACCCAUCAAUUGCUCAGGUACUGGAGGGUUGGCACGGAUGCAGUUUAUACACAAUCGGUAGAUUUUACGAGCUAGAAGACUACCUCCUAAUGGCCAAUA